GCUCGGUUAGCUCAGUUGGUUAGAGCGUCGUACUAAUAUCUUGCCCUCGUCAGGGUGACGUAUACAGUAAAUGCGAAGGUCAUGAGUUCAACCCUCAUACUGAGCA